GUAAACAGGAAGAGGUGCAUAUUUAUUCGCCCAGCAGCAGUCACUGAGCUAGCAAGUUAAAGUUGUAUCUAGCCGUCCAAUCCCAAACCUGAAGCCCCCAGUCCAUACCAGGAAAGACCAGGAAAAAGUGUUGGCUUAAUAAGGUAGAGAUGUAGAGUUAAUGAAUAGAAGCAUAUACAAGCAAUCAAUUAAAUGUAUUUUAUAAAGCCCUUUUACAUCAGCAGUUGUCACAAAGUGCUUAUACAGAUACCCAGCCUAUAACCCCAAAGAGCAAGCAAUGCAGGUGUAGAAGCAGGAAGGAAAAACUCUCUAGAAAGGCAGAAACCUAGAGAGGAGCCAGGCUCUGAGGGGUGGCCAGUCUUCUUCUGGCUGUGCUGGUGGAAAUUAUAAAAGAGUACAGCCAUUUUGGCUAGAUCGUUCUUCAAGGAAUUUAAACGUUCAUAGAUGACCAGCAGGGUCAAAUAAUAAUCACAGUGGUUAUAGAGGGUGAAAUGGUUCAGUACUUCAGGAGUAAAUGCCAGUUGGUUUUUCAUAGCUGAACAUUUAGAGGUUGAGACAGUAAGUCCGGUAGAGAGAGACAGGAUCAAACAGUAGGUCCGGUAGAGAGCGACAGGAUCAAACAGCAGGUCUGGGACAAGGUAGCACUUCCGAUGAGUCCUAAACAGGUCAGGGUUCCAUAUCAGCAGAGACUGGAUCAGCAGCACGACCAGGUGGACUGGAGACAGGGACAGCCAGGAGUCAUCAGGCCAGGUAGUCCUGAGGCAUGGGCCUAGGGCUCAAGUCCUGCAUCCUUUAUUUAAUUUGUGUAGACUAAGCCCUAGAGGUUUUGUAACUUCACAUGAUUUAGUGUACUUGUCAAUCCAGAUCAGAAUUUUUGAUAUAAUUUUUACUGUACAUAGUUUUUUUCCCCCCAAAGCUAAUCACUGAAUGUCCUACGACAAGGAUGUGGUAAGGUUGACUCAGGCUUGAGUCACAAUAAAACAGAUCACACACACCACAGAUUGCGAGGGGAAGUACAAUGAGCAGUAGAGAAAAUGAAGUCAGCUUCGUGGUUCCUACACACACACUUCGUUUAGGUUAGUGUGUAGUCAAGGUUUUGUCAUUAAAAUAACAUUGUGCCCAGCUUUAAGAUCUGCCAACCUGCUGGGUGGGUGACAGGUAACCAUGUUUCCACCAAGCUGUUCGUGGCCUGGAGUGGCAUGCUGGAACUUCCAGAGGCUUGGAGACCUGAAGCCAUGUGAUGUGGUCCAGCUCAACCACAGUCCUCACAGCUGCAUUCAUCUGCCCCUGCACCUGCUACACCGGCUGUGACAGAUCUGCCAGCCCCAGCAGUUCAGCUGCAGUCACAGCAGUCCUCUGCUGUGGUAUUUCAUUUACCAGCUGCACCAGUUCCUACUACACUGGCCGUGAAGGGAGAAACUUUUGAGGAUUCCCAGAUGGAUACAAAUUGGCCAAGCAGCCUCGCCCAGAAGUGCAUACAUCGGGCAUAUCAAGACUGACGAAGCAGAGAUGGGUGGCUGACAAGGAAACAUAAAACAUGCACACACACGCUGUCUCUCUGUGUCUCUAUCUCACACACACAUUAUCCCCAAUAUAAAUAAAUUGUAAUAACUUAUUUAUUUGAUGAAUAUUCCAUUUUAUUUUAGGAUUGAAGAUAUCUACUGUAUGCCUACAUUUCCAUUAUCAAUAUCUACAUAAUUCAUCUAAAUAUCUAUGAAAUCAAAGUGAUAUUGAUAAUAUUGUAAAACAGUAUUGCUUAAUGUGUACAGUCUGAGGAAAUUCUGUGUGCUCUUUUUGAGUUGAAAAACGUAGCUCACUCUGAGACACACACACACAUUAGACCCAAUGUAGAUACAUUGUUUAUUUUAUGUAUGCUACAUUUUAUUUGAGGAUUGUGUGCAAAAAAUUACAUUCACAGUUAAAGCAACGGUUUGGUGUAUUGGAUAUUUCUCAGAUUUUAAAAUGAAUGAUCAAAAGGAAGUCAGCAGACCUGUAAACCUCUGGGAGUGUGCAGAUUUUGUCAUCUGGCACUGAAACAGGGCCCCAACAACCCUCAUACUGUGCCUUCGGAAACUAUUCAGAUCCCUUGACUUUUCCCACAUUUUGUUAUG